rnacentral:tRNA from 1 species
GUGAAGCUCAUUGGUAGAGCACCUUCCUAGCAUGAAUGAGACCCUUGGUUCAAUCCCUAGCAC